rnacentral:rRNA from 1 species
CUAUACAUGCAGUCGAACGGAAACGAUGGAAGCUUGCUUCCAGGCGUCGAGUGGCGGACGGGUGAGUAAUACUUAGGAAUCUGCCUAUUAGAGGGGGACAACUCGAGGAAACUCGAGCUAAUACCGCAUACGCCCUACGGGGGAAAGCGGGGGAUCUUCGGACCUCGCGCUAAUAGAUGAGCCUAAGCCGGAUUAGCUAGUUGGUGGGGUAAGAGCCCACCAAGGCGACGAUCCGUAGCUGGUCUGAGAGGACGAUCAGCCACACUGGGACUGAGACACGGCCCAGACUCCUACGGGAGGCAGCAGUAGGGAAUAUUAGACAAUGGGCGAAAGCCUGAUCUAGCAAUGCCGCGUGUGUGAAGAAGGCCUGAGGGUUGUAAAGCACUUUCAAUAGUGAAGAAAAACUUAGGGAUAAUACCCUUAAGUGUUGACGUUAACUAUACAAGAAGGACCGGCUAACUCCGUGCCAGCAGCCGCGGUAAUACGGAGGGUCCAAGCGUUAAUCGGAAUUACUGGGCGUAAAGCGCGCGUAGGCGGUUAAGUAAGUCGGAUGUGAAAGCCCAGGGCUCAACCCUGGAAUUGCAUUCGAUACUGCUUGACUAGAGUAUGGUAGAGGGAAGUGGAAUUUCAAGUGUAGCGGUGAAAUGCGUAGAUAUUUGAAGGAACACCAGUGGCGAAGGCGACUUCCUGGGCCAAUACUGACGCUGAGGUGCGAAAGCGUGGGGAGCGAACAGGAUUAGAUACCCUGGUAGUCCACGCCGUAAACGAUGAGAACUAGAUGUCGGGGGGGUUGCCCUUCGGUGUCGCAGCUAACGCGUUAAGUUCUCCGCCUGGGGAGUACGCCGGCACGGUAAACUCAAAGGAAUUGACGGGGACCCGCACAAGUAGUGGAGCAUGUGGUUUAAUUCGAGAUACGCGCAGACCUUACCACACUUGACAUGUUCGUCGCGACUCUAGAGAUUAGAGUUUUCGGUUCGGCCGGACGAAACACAGUGCUGCAUGGCUGUCGUC